CCCCUUAUCCGGGGCCAACCCUUCCAGAUACGCUGCAGUUUCCCUCUUCUGUCCUCUAGUACUUUUAAAGCACAGCUCUGUUCCUGUAGCUUUGGUGCAUAAACACCUUCAAUGAAAGUACAUACGGUUACAACAUUACUUCUCCAAGUCAGGCGCUGACUGAAGAGAAACAGAAAAUGGGAAUGAUAAGAUCUACUCUGGAAAAACAAUUUAGCACCAGACUGUUUCACGUAGCACAUAUAGCUUACUGCUAUAUACAAAUGUCUAAAUUACGUGGUGAGAGAACUAGAGAUUAAAAAUUGUGCCUCAGAGAUAAUA
ensembl:lncRNA